AUUGAACGCUGGCGGCAGGCCUAACACAUGCAAGUCGAGCGGAUGAAGGGAGCUUGCUCCUGGAUUCAGCGGCGGACGGGUGAGUAAUGCCUACGAAUCUGCCUGGUAGUGGGGGAUAACGUCCGGAAACGGGCGCUAAUACCGCAUACGUCCUGAGGGAGAAAGUGGGGGAUCUUCGGACCUCACGCUAUCAGAUGAGCCUAGGUCGGAUUAGCUAGUUGGUGGGGUAAAGGCCUACCAAGGCGACGAUCCGUAACUGGUCUGAGAGGAUGAUCAGUCACACUGGAACUGAGACACGGUCCAGACUCCUACGGGAGGCAGCAGUGGGGAAUAUUGGACAAUGGGCGAAAGCCUGAUCCAGCCAUGCCGCGUGUGUGAAGAAGGUCUUCGGAUUGUAAAGCACUUUAAGUUGGGAGGAAGGGCAGUAAGUUAAUACCUUGCUGUUUUGACGUUACCAACAGAAUAAGCACCGGCUAACUUCGUG
rnacentral:rRNA from 1 species